UCCAGACUCCUACGGGAGGCAGCAGUGGGGGAUAUUGCACAAUGGAGGAAACUCUGAUGCAGCGACGCCGCGUGAGGGAAGACGGUCUUCGGAUUGUAAACCUCUGUCUUUGGGGAAGAAAAUGACGGUACCCAAAGAGGAAGCUCCGGCUAACUACGUGCCAGCAGCCGCGGUAAUACGGAGGAUGCGAGCGUUAUCCGGAUUUAUUGGGUUUAAAGGGUGCGUAGGCGGACUGUUAAGUCAGCGGUAAAGCCCGGGGCCUCACCCCCGGCGAGCCGUUGAAACUGGCUGUCUUGAGAUGUCGAGAGGUAUGCGGAAUGCGCAGUGUAGCGGUGAAAUGCUUAGAUAUUGCGCAGAACUCCGAUUGCGAAGGCAGCAUACCGGCGGCGAUCUGACGCUGAGGCACGAAAGCGUGGGUAUCGAACAGGAUUAGAUACCCGAGUAUC
rnacentral:rRNA from 1 species